rnacentral:rRNA from 1 species
GAUGAACGCUGGCGGCGUGCCUAACACAUGCAAGUCGAACGGAGUUAUACGAAAUGGAGAUUUCGGUCAAAGCUUUGUAUAACUUAGUGGCGGACGGGUGAGUAACGCGUGGGUAACCUGCCGUAUACAGGGGGAUAACACUUAGAAAUAGGUGCUAAUACCGCAUAAGCGCACAGUACCGCAUGGUACGGUGUGAAAAACUCCGGUGGUAUGAGAUGGACCCGCGUCUGAUUAGCUAGUUGGUGGGGUAACGGCCUACCAAGGCGACGAUCAGUAGCCGGCCUGAGAGGGUGAACGGCCACAUUGGGACUGAGACACGGCCCAAACUCCUACGGGAGGCAGCAGUGGGAAUAUUGCACAAUGGGGGAAACCCUGAUGCAGCGACGCCGCGUGAGCGAUGAAGUAUUUCGGUAUGUAAACCUUUGUUGUAAGGGAGAAACAAAUGACGGUACCUUACGAGGAAGCCACGG